UAAGAUACGGGUUAAGCACGUAAGUGUAGGAGCGGUAGCGAAAGCGAGUUAUAACUGAGCCUUCAGUUACUUGACGUAGACACGAGACCAGGCGUCCUACCCAUGAGCAGGAGGAAGCGAAAGUAAAAUUUCGCGGAGGUCCGAACCAACGAGCGUUGAAAAGCUCGGGGAUGACUUGUGGGUAGCGGUGAAAUUACAAUCGAGCCCGGAGAUAGCUGGUUCUCCCCGAAAUAGCUUUAGGGCUAGCCUCAAGGCGAGAGAUACGGAGGUAGAGCACUGAAUGUCCUAGGGGGUAUUGCACCUACCGAAGACUAUCAAACUCCGUAUGCCGUCAUCUUAUACAUGGUAGUCAGAUUGUGGUUGCUAAGAUUCAUAGUCGAAAGGGCAACAGCCCAGACCGUCAGCUAAAGGCCCUAACUCUCAGUUAAGUGGUAAAGG
rnacentral:rRNA from 1 species